UGAAAAGAUGAGUUUAGUUUUCCUAGCCAAUAAUUAUGUUGUGCCAAUGGUAUGGCUAACUCUUAUGGUUUUGCCUUAUUUGGUUGUAAAGUAGGUAUCUUUUAACUAUUCUGAGAAUUUUGUGGAUGAGGUAUACUUAGCCAACUUUUAACCCACUUUAAUUAUUUUUCAGGGGAUAUAUAAUGAGACAGCGACUUGGCAUAUAUGCAAUCACUCCUGAAAUACCAGACUGGACCUGUAAAGUGUAAGUUGUGGAUAUAUGCAAACCAGGAGAAGGUUCUCACCGAAAGAUAAAAUAUUUGAACAUGAUCUUUCAAGAUGAACAGGAAGACCAAAUAAAAGCUAUUAGUUACGGUGAUGAAAUCUCCUUUUAUUAAGAUAUAUUCAAGUUGUUUCACACCUAUUUGAUAACGGUUGCGCGCAUACAAGUACCAAAUUUGAGAUAUGAAAGACCCUUGCAUACAUUUGAGUGGAUUAUUGACAAAAAAAUCACAGUUGAUCCAAUUGAAAAAGAUAAUCCAGAUGAGGAUGAAUUUCCACCACCCACAAAGAUGAAUCUUACAUCAUUUGAAGACAUCAACAAUCAGGCCUCCCAGUCUACCAAAGAGCAGCUUAAGGACGUAGAAUUUAGUAUGGUUAUAUUACUUCUUUUCAGUUUAACUUUUAACACAUUCAUCUAUUAAAUACAAAUUGUUUUGCCAAUAGAUAUACUCGAAAUUGUUGUCCGCUGCUUCCCGCCAAGGUUUGUUGCAAAAGUCCGGAAAAGAUUGCAAGAACUCAUUCUCAUUGAUACUGAGUAAGUGCAUUCGUAAAUUUUUCAAAAUCCUUAUUGUUUUACAAUUACAAAUAUACGACAUAUUUCCCUUUUUUUAUGUAACCAGCAAACAAGCUUUGACCUUCACACUAUGGGAAGACACUUUUAUUGAGGACGAAGGCAAGAAACUCCUUGACCAAUUCCAAAAACGUCCUAUUAUCUUUGCCAGGCGUAUUGGGGUAUCCAAGUACAAUGGUACAUCGUUGACAACAAAAUUUAACACCACAAUACAAAUUGAUCCCCCUUAUACCCAAUGCCUACAAUUGCACACAUGGGUCACAGAAAACAGAGAAAUGCUUGCUUCUUUCAGUCUGAGGAGCACAUCUGAAUCUGGAUCUCUUAUCAGCGUUUCAGUAGAUGAACAAAUAGUCCCAAUUGCAAAUGUUCAAUCACAACAGGACGUUAGUAUAAUUUCUAUUUACAUAAUUCAUAAUUUCUGCCCAUACUUAUCCUUAUAAUAAGUAGUCUCAUUUCCUUUUAAUGCAUGGGCAUUCCUUCUCCAUUGAGGCAAAAGUAUCACUUCCAAAUAAACUCAAAAGUUGCUAUGUUUUAAUAUGUCCCAACUGCAAACAAGAAGUCGGAAGUUUAAUAAAAAGAAAGUUUGUGUAUGACUUGUAAGCAACGAAAUAUGUUAAUUCCCAGGUGCAGAUUUGAUGUAAAUCUCCAAGAUGCUUUCGGAUCAAUAAUUGGGAUAAUUAUGGAUAAAGAAGCAGAAAAAUUAUUAUCCCUUACCACAGAUGAGAUUUACGACCUUGCUUCAAAUGAGGAUGAGUUGCUACCAAUGCAGAAUAUUCAAAGCAAGCUAAAUCAGAACUUUUACAUAAUUCAAGUGAAAAAAUCAUUCUCCCGCAUUUCUCACGCAACAUCUGAAAAAUUGUACAUUUUGUCUUGCACUGAAAAAGGAAAAAUCGUACAUUCUCUCCCUGAAUCACCAAAAACUAAUAUUGAAGAAGGCAACAAAAGGAAAAAGAAACAUUUAGUUUCUUUUGAUGAAGAAACAGAAGUACCAACCGAGCGACGUCAAUCGCUCAAGCUGAAACAAAAACUGGAGCCAACAACUCCAGUAAAAAAGAAAUAAAGGAUAACCUUUUUUUGCAAUCACUUUUGCGUUUUGCGGAACAAAGGUAAUUUAUAUCAAAACCUAUUUACCCUAUUCCAUUACUUAAAUGUUCCACAAUUUUCUUUUUACAAAUUUUUAACAUCAACCACAACUAAAAUUUAUUCAUUCUUAAACAAUUCUUUUGUACGGAAAUCAAUUCUCUUUUGAAGCUUGCUUUUGACUUUUUGUCUAAGCAAUGACUGUGUUGGAGAGAGGAGCUUCAAACAACUGUGUUAUCUGAGAUCAAAGAGGCGCGAUGUUCCCUAUUUCUUUAGGGAUUUAGUCUGUGAAUUCGUCCUCUAUGAAAUUCCAAUGUUUUUGAAAGUGGAACUUGCUCAAGGCUACAAAAGGGGACGCUGCUCCGAUUUUAAGAGGCUAUCAAGACUUGGAAAGAAAUUGAUGAGUACAUACUGGUUUCACAAGCACAUGAGGAAACGACGGUAGGAAAGCAACUUCAUAGCUUGAUGUUGAGGUAUUAUGCUAUCCCAUUUUCGAGCUCAAAAUUUAGUGAUUUCUACUGUUGAAGUAAUGUGUUACCUCCGAGGUGGCAUACAUUUUAGUAAAAAACUUUCCAGUGGCUGGUUUGCUUCAAAAUAACAUAUAGUGAAAACAAGCACGACUUUUUUUUUAAUCAAAUAUAUCAAUAGGACAUGCCUAUUUAUUUGUUUUAUUAAUCAUCAAAUAAAGGUAAAACUACAAAGAUCCAGAAAAGCCAAAGUAGGCAAAAAUAAAGGAAGAACAAAAAUAGCAAAAAAGAAAAGUCCAAAAAGGCAAGGAAAUAGGACUGUUGUGCUUGUUGCAUCUUUGAAACCUUGUACUAAUAUUUGCCUGAUGCUGUAUUUCCUGCGUACAACAUCUCCAUCCAUGCUGCCUGAUGUUGCUGAUGCUGUAGAAUUAUAAGAAUUAUCCACGCUCCAACUGCAGUUGCAUUACCUCUGGUCAUCCUAUCUUCAAAGUUCUUGAUCUAAUAUUUGGAUAAUACUAUUUGUCUAGGUUCAGCAGCCUUCUACCUUGAGAAGGAAGAUCUGUGUAUUGCUUAUAUUCUACUGAUCCCGGCAGAAUGACUUGAUUUACAAUAUAAUCUGCUAGACUAUUUCCCUCCCUCUUGACAUGUUGAAACUUAACCUCACACAGAUGUUUUAUCUCCUUUUCCGGCUGCACCAGUAAUAUGAACAAAAUCCCUUGGAGUUUUACCCAUAAACUCAAAAAAUGGUAGACCCACUUGUGUGUUUGAGGCUUACUACAUAAGCUUUACUAAUGUCAGCAGUGACUGCUUCAUU